GUUUGGUUUCGUCGCAGUUGUCCGGAAAUUGCGGCAAUCCUUUGAUUGGGCUGGAAAAUAGGCGCUAUCGAAGGUAGUGCGUAGU
rnacentral:sRNA from 1 species